UAGCUUUCUGUUGAACUGCAACCUUAUUAAUUUGAGGCAAGUGUGAAUCAACAACUGAUGGAAGUGUUGUACUUCCAGUAUGACCACCAAUGGUCUAAAAUAUGAGACAUGUUCUUGUGGUGUCUCUUAAUCCCAACUAGUUACUGACAGAAUUUCAUUCGUUUUAUGUGGAGCUUUUCUGGUGCAUUUAAGAACAUUGGUUGAUGUGAAACAUGUCUCGCUGCGUUGUUUGGAUAUACUGG
rnacentral:misc_RNA from 1 species